GGUCAGUCAUAAGACUGACAUAUAUGAAAGGAGAUACCUCAAGUCACACAUCAGACCCACACUGAUACCUCCACCGAUCUGAGCUUGGUACACGCUGCUCUCUCCUGCCCGCGGUGUCUGUCUAAUGUCCCCUUGGAGUGUCUCAUCUCUCUGUGCGUCAGUGUGAUUAGACCCGCUGAAGAAAGCCGUGAUUGGAUCCUGUGGGUUGCUUUAGCUAAGCCUAUUUUAAGGACAUCAGAGACUAAGGGUGUACCAUUUCCCGUUCUUAUGCUUUUCUACCAUUAUUGUCAUCAUUGUCAUUGUCAUCAUCAUCAUCAUCACUAUCAUCAUCAUCAUUAUCAUCAUCAUUCAUGAAUUUUGCACCUUGAUUGUGCAUAAUAUUCAUCUGUUAAAUGCUUGAUUACCCAGCCCGUGGGACUGUUGGGAGGUGGUUGGACACUUCUGAGAACAUUCUCAUCUGUCAUGAUGUCACUGGUUGAUAAAACACACAAGACCACCAAGUCUAAUCACGUCUGUGGGUUUCCAACGUGCUUUAUAGCUAAAGAAUUCCUGUCCCUGUGCACUUUCAAAGAUCACCAUACAGAGCAGGCAAGGAGAGACACAUCUGUCAGCAAAAAGGAAGCCUUGAAGCAUACAGCUCUCUAACUUGAUGAAUAGUUGUGAAAUGUUCAAGAAGAGAUCAGAAUCAAACAACUGUCAACAUACAAGAUAUGAAUUUGCCUUCCUGGAUAUGAUUUUACUUUUUAGCAAAAUGAUAGGUUUGUGCUGAGAGACAGAGAGGCGUUCUAUUGUGAAAUUCAAUUUGCAGGGAUUUAUGUCAGCCUGGUGGAACGGAGAACAAUUAGCGUGGCAGUGCCAGUACUUUUCAAGAGGAUAUAUAAUGACUUUAGCCUAACAGUAUGCAAGGAAGCAUUGCAUUUACACAUAGAGAAAUGGAUAUUAUAUAUUACAUAAGACUACCACAUCACCAUAGUGAUACUAGGUCAGAGCAACAAUCAAUUUUUAAAAAGAAUCAUAUUAAAGGAGUGACAAGAGCAAAAAACCUUAUGGUGAGGUUUUGAUUGAAGGACCAUAACUGCAGACUCUAAUUCAAACUAAUGUGGCUACUGUUGUGGGAAUGCCUAGCCAGAUGUAUAAGGAGCUUAAUGCUUUGUUAGGAUCAAAAGACAAGGAAGAUAGUGUUCUGACUGCUAAUUCCUAUGUCCUGACUUCUACCCAUCAUACUAUAUUAAAGCUGAGCAUGUAAUC
ensembl:lincRNA 2810404M03Rik RIKEN cDNA 2810404M03 gene